CCAGAUCAUAUCUCUGGUUAACUGGGUAACCCUAUUUCCUUAAGAUUGUCAGAAUUCAAAAGAUAGCCCCACAAAAUUCCCAUCUCGUGGUUAUCAAACACUAAUCUAGAUACUACUUCACUCACCCAUCUAGAUACAGUUGUGAAGGGAUUUUACAGAGGCAAUUAAAGUCCCAAAUCAGUUUACUUUAAGAUAGGGAUAUUAUCCAGGUGGGCCUGCCCCAAUCAGGUGAGCCCUUUAAAAGAAUCGUUUUCCUCAGUUGGUAGCAGAAGAAGUAAAAGAAAUUCUAAAUGUGAGAAAGAUUGGACGGUGAUUGCUGGCUUUGAAAAUAGAGAAGACCUAUGAGAAAGAAUGUGUCUUCUUUCUCGAAGCUGAUGACGCUUGGCUGACAGCCAGAAAGCAAAGGGGGACCUCAGUGGUACACAAGGAACAGGGUUCUGCCGGCCGUGGGAAUGAACUUGGAAGCAGAUUCUGCCCCAGCUAUAUUUCCCUCUCUAAAAAACUUGACCUAAACUUUGUCAAAUAUAUUGAAAUUCAGCAAGCUACAUCCUGAUCUUGGGAAAAUUAUGAGAGAAGAGGCCAAAGAUGAUCAUACCUGUUUUAAAUAAAAUCGAUGACUGAGAUGAAAAUAAAACAAAAAAGUGGGGCAAGAACAUUCUGACCCUAAGUAAACAGACAUGAAUGGUGUAGCGCCUGCUAACCCAGAUUUCUCCUCUUGAGAAUGAGCUGCAAGCAAAGAAUGGAAAUUUCCAAUUGCAGCAUCAAGGGCUGCUGUUCUGCUGACUGUCUUGCUCAGCCAGGGUCAUCUGCUUCUCUAAGACAUCAAGGAAUGCCAAGGAAAAGGAAGAGGCAAUUUGCUUGGUGGCCUCCACCGGUGGCGUAGAGGACCUAACAAAGAUGGGCCUGGGCCGGGACUAGCUCCUACAAGCUUCCAGUUCUCAAUCUGAGGCGUAACAGAGCCCAAUAAGAAGUUGACAAGUCAAGAAUCAGCUCUUACAAGCAACCAUGUGUCUCUGCAGAGCUGUGCAAGGUUGGACCUGCAAGUACACGAUAAGACAAAACACAAAAUGGAGGAGCACACACUGGAUGGUCGAAGAGGAAAUGACUGCAGCUCAGUGUCUGGAGACCUGGGUAGUUGUACCCCUGCCCCCUUCAGCUGAGAGUAAGGUCUUCAGGAAGCACGAUAGUCCAACAUUGUGAGGCCAGCUAGACGAACAGGGAAGAUGCAAGACCAAGAAUUUUUAAAUUAUUGCUCUACAAGUAAAUGCAAAAG